AUUUUUUUUUUUUUUUUUUUUGAAUAUAAAAGUGGAUUCUUAAUUUUAUCCACGAAGAACUGUAUUAUUUUUCUUUAUCAUCAUGAUAAUGAAGGUUGCAAGAACAGAGGAUUGGAGAUCAAAUAUGUAGGAGAUAAAUCUGGUUGUUUAAGCAGGCUUUUAAAACAAAACAAUGGUUACAUUGUUUUUUAACCACACAAAGCAAAUGUCGACAGAUGAUAAGACUAGAAAAAUAUCUGCAAUAAAUUCAAAUAAAACAAUUGUGAACAACUAUGCGCAACAUUACUUCCAGAUAAUGUACAAAAGAAUGCACAGAACAGGAUUUCAAUAAAAAUUACCUGCUAACUUGUUUACAUACGACAAUAUGUCUUCUAACUAACUCAAUCCAAGAAAGUUAUCCCCCGAUUGACUUCUCUUUAUCUUCUUUUCUUGUGAAUAUGGUAGUUGGUGCCAUGGACCUUGAUCAAACCAAUGGCCUUGAAAAGCAUGAAAAAUAGAUUUCAGCAAAGAUCUUACAGCGCCCAUAUUCUCCUGCUUUUUCAUGAGGGAAAUUAUGUUAUCUGCUCUUCUUUUAAACAAAGUCGUGCUAUAGGUUGUUGAUUAUUGGUGCCAAGGUCUCUCCUGUUAUCUAAGGCAAGCUUCUCUACAUUAUUUUGUUUCAGCUCCGAUGACUUACUAUUGGCUGUGCUGUGGCUACUCCCUUUAGUAGCAGGAACAUCAUGAUUAUGUUUGCCUUCAUAAGUUGUUAUAACUGCUCUUGGGUCUGUUGCAGCUCUCUCAAUAUGUUUACGGACUUUGCAGCCUGGGGUUGUGCAUUUAUAGUAGCUCCUGUAGAUCAUAGAAGGAAAACACAUCUUAAAUGUUAACAUAGAAAAUCUAAAGACAAGCAAAGCACAAAUAUUUGGACAUAGAAACAGGGGAUUGCACAAAUAGAUAAGCAUUUUCCAUACUAUAUGCAAUAGCAACCUAGGUUAUAAAGACAAACUAAGCAUUGCAAGACAGGCAUAAAUAUUUUCCAUUAACAUAAUUGCAAUAGCAACCAAAGUGUUCAAAAUGGUACCAGCAGCAUAAAGAUGUCAUCUUUCUCAAGGAAGACACGGCUUCAUGACAGAAAACUGGUUAUACUGGAGAAAGCCUCCAAAACAGGGAUAGUAAAUAUCAAAUAAUUGUAAACGCAAGAAGUGCUAAAUAUUUAACCAGAAAAAUAGAUAGGAAACGCUAAUAAUGAUGAAAUGACAGAAUGACAUGCAAAUAUCAAUUUCUUCUAAAAGCCAGAGAGAGAGAGAGCGAGAGGCAUGCAACUUCUGUAGAUCACAAUGCAUAAAAAUAUAAAUGCUGCAAAUGCCUAUCAAUUUCAAUUAUGUAGACUACCACAAGGAAUUCUGACCCAUACCAAAUGAUCAUUGGAACCAAGGAAUAGCGUUUAUCCAAUUUGUCAUUACAGUAACAAGCCACAAUCAAACAGGCUAAGGAAAGUCACCUUGGAUAACGAUUGCCUUUGACAACUUUCUGCCCAUACUUGCGCCAUCUAUAGCCAUCAUCCAAAAGAUCAACU
rnacentral:misc_RNA from 1 species